rnacentral:rRNA from 1 species
UACGGAGGAUGCGAGCGUUAUCCGGAUUUAUUGGGUUUAAAGGGUGCGUAGGCGGGCUGUUAAGUCAGCGGUCAAAUGUCGGGGCUCAACCCCGGCCUGCAGUUGAAACUGGGGGCCUUGAGUGGGCGAGAAGAAGGCGGAAUGCGUGGUGUAGCGGUGAAAUGCAUAGAUAUCACGCAGAACCCCGAUUGCGAAGGCAGCAUAUCGGCGGCGAUCUGACGCUGAGGCACGAAAGCGUGGGUAUCGAACAGG